rnacentral:rRNA from 1 species
GUAGGGUGCAAGCGUAAUCGGAAUUACUGGCCUAAACUCGCGCAAGGCGGUUCGGAAAGAAAGAUGUGAAAUCCCAGAGCUUAACUUUGGAACUGCAUUUUUAACUACCGAGCUAGAGUGUGUCAGAGGGAGGUGGAAUUCCGCGUGUAGCAGUGAAAUGCGUAGAUAUGCGGAGGAACACCGAUGGCGAAGGCAGCCUCCUGGGAUAACACUGACGCUCAUGCACGAAAGCGUGGGGAGCAAACAGGAUUAGAUACCCUGGUAGUCCACGCCCUAAACGAUGUCAACUAGCUGUUGGGCUUCGGGCCUUGGUAGCGCACKAACGCGUGAAGUUGACCGCC